UGUUCUUACCUCAUUUAUCCCGCGGUUAACUCACAAUACUUUUAAAUACCGUGCUGAAUAUGCAGUAACUGCUUGUAGAGGAACAAAUGACCUUCUGUUUAUUUUAUUUGGAAAACUUGUAAACAUGGUUGGAAACCCAUGCUAAAUAUCCUAUAAUUUACUAACGUUACCACUCAAAGCAGCUUUUUAAAUUGAUCUUUUAACAUAUUUACCUAGUAGGGUAUGCAUAUAGUGUGUUUUAAAGGUAGAUUUGUUCUGUAAAUUUCCCUGUUCUCUUAGAAAUUGCUCUGGUUGGAUGAUGAAAUGUAACUUGCAGGGGCUGAAGAAACAAACCAUAGCUUGCAUGGAUGAAGAGCUUCCCCGAACUAAUUCAAGCAUUAAUAACAGAUCAGAUCUGCGCAGAAUACUUCAACUUGAGGACCUUUACAAAAGGAAUAACGUAUCAAAGCGAUCAACGUCUGUAUUUAAAAUAUAAAGAAUGUUGGAAAAAGUAGAGAGGUCAUCAAAAUGCAUUUGCACUUAGGCUGAACAUCCUUUGAAGUCAAUGUUGGGGAUGGUCGUUACGGACAGAAUGAGAAGUGGCAAAACCAAAGGAUGCCAACAUGGUGACAAUCAAACACAUCCAUUGGAACAAACCAUAUCCAGUUCUUCUAUAAACAUGACUGGGAAUGUUAAGAGAGAGGAAGACGGUAUGGAUAAUCUGUUGGGUGACAGUCCAAAGUAUUUAUUUAUUUACAAAAAUCCAGUGUAUUUUUCUGUUUAAGACGUUUGAGAUCUAUUGACAGAAAUAAACAUUAAGCUUUUACAUAGGUCAUCUGAAAUAAGUGUGUCACAACAAGUUAUUGUGCCCUCCCAAACAUCUUCUGAAAUCAUGCGCAAGAGCUUUGCUGUUCACCCUGAGAGUGAGAGAAGUGUGUACUGUUCCUUGUCUAGCAAGGAUAGUCUCUUAACAGUGUCGAAAGAGGGAUUUCCCUCUGAGAAAAUGGUCCUUGACACUGACAGCCAGAAGAACAGAAGAAGCAAGAUAAGACAAGGCAUUAUGGCAAAUCCCAUUGCCAGCUCCUCACAACAUUGCAUUGCAUUUUCAAGGAUAUAAUUUUCUUUAGGAAAGUAACAGGAGAUGUCCAGCUCGAAAAGCACCUUCAUCUGUUAUAGCAACAUUGGAGGAUUGUAGAGAAGCAGCAAACUGGACAAAUGGUGAUUCAUAGACUGUAGAGGACAUGAGAGGACGUCAGACAUCAAACAUUGCCUACAGAAUUCGGCACCCGGCCCAAAGCUGGAUGGACUCCAUGUGUUGGAAAUGGUUUUGGGUAGUGUACCUAAAAUCUUCAACAGAUUACAUUUUGUAUCCUAGCCAGUUCAGCUGCAGAAUAUGCUAGCAGCUGUUGUAUUGCUUUAAAAUAAAUGAAGUGCUGUU